AACGAACGCUGGCGGCAUGCCUAACACAUGCAAGUCGAACGAAACCUUCGGGUCUAGUGGCGCACGUGUGCGUAACGCGGGGGAACCUGCCCUUAGGUUCGGAAUCACUCCCCUAGAGGGGUGCUAAUACCGGAUAAUGUCUUCGGACCAAAGAUUUAUCGCCUUUGGGUGGGCCCGGGUUGGAUUCGCUAGUUGGUAGGGUAAAAGCCUACCAAGGCGACGAUCCAUAGCUGGUCUGAGAGGAUGAUCCGCCACGCUGGGACUGAGACACGGCCCAGACUCCUACGGGAGGGAGCAGUAGGGAAUAUAGGACGAUGGGCGAAAGUCUGAUCCAGCAAUGCCGGGUGAGUGGUGAAGGCCUUAGGGUUGUAAAGCUCUUUUACCCGGGAUGAUAAUGACGGUACCGGGAGAAUAAGCACCGGCUAACUCCGUG
rnacentral:rRNA from 1 species